rnacentral:misc_RNA from 1 species
CAUUACCGAGCUCAUGCCCUUAGGGGUAGAUCUCCCACCCUUGUUAUCAUUACCUUUGUUGCUUUGGUGGGCCGCCCGGCCUCGGUCAGGCUAUCGGCUUCUGCUGGGAAGCGCCCGCCAGACGACCCCAAAUCCUGAUUAUUUCUGUCAUCUGAAUACUAUAUAAUAUUUAAAACUUUCCACAACGGAUCUCUUGGUUCUGGCAUCGAUGAAAAACGCAACAAAAUGUGAUAAUUAAUGAGAAUUGCAAAAUUCCGUGAAUCAUCCAAUCUUUGAACCCACAUUGCGCCCCUUGGUAUUCCGCGGGGCAUGCCUGUUCUAUGGCACGCCAGCGGACCCCAACUCUUGAUUAUAAGUGUAUUCUGAGUACUAUCUAAUAGUUAAAAUUUUCAACAACGGAUUUAUGGGUUCUGCCAUGGAUGAAGAACGCAGGGAAAUGCAAUAAUAAAUUUGAAUUGCAGAAUUCAUUGAUUCUUGGAAUCUUUGAACCCCCAUUGGGCCCCUUGGUAUUCCGAGGGCCAGCCUUGUUGGAGGGUCAUUACUACCCCCAAGCAUUGCUUGGUUUUGGGCUCCAUGCUUCCCCAGCGGGCCUUAAACUCAGAGGCGGUGCCGUCGGGCCAUGAGCGUAGUAAAUCUUCUCCCUACAGGGUGUCGAUGGACACCGCCAUCACCCCCCCACUCUUUAAGUUGA